rnacentral:rRNA from 1 species
UUAAAGUCUAAUCUGCCCUAUGAGGAGUUAAAUGGCCGCGGUAUCUUGACCGUGCAAAGGUAGCAUAAUAAUUAGUUUUUUAAUUGAAAGCUGGAAUGAAUGAUUGGACGAGAAAAUGACUGUCUCAAUUUAAUUUUAUUAGAAUUUUAUUUUUAAGUAAGAAAGCUUAAAUUUUAUUAAAAGACGAGAAGACCCUAUAGAGUUUUAUAAUUAAUUAAUUAUUAAUUUUUUAGUAUAUUUUUAUUAGUAUUUUAUUGAUUAUUUUGUUGGGGCGAUAGAAAAAUAUAAUAAACUUUUUUUAGUAUUUAUACAUUAAUUUAUGGUUUUAUGAUCCAUUAUUUAUGAUUAAAAGAUUAAGUUACCUUAGGGAUAACAGCGUAAUUUUUUUUUAGAGUUCUUAUCGAAAGAAAAGAUUGCGACCUCGAUGUUGGAUUAAAAUUAAAGCUAGGUGUAGGAGCUUAGUAAUUAGGUCUGUUCGACCUUUAAAAUUUUACA